CGGGCUGGGAGCUGCAUGGGAAUAAGCUGUCUGGGGGACGGAUGGACGAAUGGUCCUUCUGCUCACGGCAGAGGCAUUUUUCACUUAGCAUUUGCAAGACAGAAAUGCUGGCAAGAAGUUCAUGAGCACUGAUGGUGAUCACAAUGUCUACCUCCCUUUCCCGUAGGCUCCCUCUCCUCCACCAACCAAUUUUCUUUCACUCAAAUGGUUGACGUGGCAUUCUAGUUGAAUCGGACCAGAACAAAGGAUCACACAGCAGCCAAGCAGGUCCUGCAGUGUUCCAACAGAAGGCUGCAGGGACAGACACACCUGGCUCCUUUGCCUCUGUUCCCGUCGUCUCGUGAGGUGCACACAGGGAGCGAUGUUCAAGCCCGCGACGGUCAGGGCUGAAAUCCGGCUCUCGAUGUCGGAUAUCUGAACGCAACAAGAUCAGCAGGGAGAGAAGCAGAAGGGUAAAGAACAACAAAAGACAAGUGGACAACUAUGAAGGGAGGAUUUUGCCUUCCUAAGACUGUGCCCAUUGACUGAGACACUGGGUGGAAGGAGGCGGCCUGCUCUGCUGUUUCCCGGUAGGCACCACCAAGAGCUGAGCGAGGGACUCUAUGUCCAUCCACAGGACAGUGAGCAAGCACUCAGAACAGCUUUCCCUGAUACUAAGGGUUAAAGGACCCUCCCCUCCGCA